rfam:Alicyclobacillus acidocaldarius subsp. acidocaldarius DSM 446, complete genome.
CCUGGUGACCCUAGCGGAGGGGCAACACCCGUACCCAUCCCGAACACGGACGUGAAGACCUCCAGCGCCGAGAAUACUGGGAGGGAAGCCUCCUGGGAAGGUAGGUCGUUGCCAGGC